AGAGUUUGAUCCUGGCUCAGGACGAACGCUGGCGGCAGGCUUAACACAUGCAAGUCGAACGCUCUCUUCGGAGGGAGUGGCGCACGGGUGAGUAACACGUGGGAACCUACCCUGAGGUACGGAAUAACCGUUGGAAACGACGGCUAAUACCGUAUGUCCCCUGUGGGGGAAAGAUUUAUCGCCUUGGGAUGGGCCCGCGGUCGAUUAGCUAGUUGGUGUGGUAAAGGCGCACCAAGGCGACGAUCGAUAGCUGGUCUGAGAGGAUGAUCAGCCACACUGGGACUGAGACACGGCCCAGACUCCUACGGGAGGCAGCAGUGGGGAAUAUUGGACAAUGGGGGCAACCCUGAUCCAGCCAUGCCGCGUGAGUGAUGAAGGCCUUCGGGUUGUAAAGCUCUUUCAGGUGGGACGAUGAUGACGGUACCACCAGAAGAAGCCCCGGCUAACUUCGUGCCAGCAGCCGCGGUAAUACGAAGGGGGCUAGCGUUGUUCGGAAUCACUGGGCGUAAAGCGCGCGUAGGCGGUCCUGCCAGUCAGGGGUGAAAGCCCAGGGCUCAACCCUGGAACGGCCUUUGAUACUGCAGGACUUGAGUUCGGGAGAGGGGCAUGGAAUUCCUAGUGUAGAGGUGAAAUUCGUAGAUAUUGGGAAGAACACCA
rnacentral:rRNA from 1 species